rnacentral:rRNA from 1 species
AUUGAACGCUAGCGGCAUGCCUAACACAUGCAAGUCGAGCGGAGCGGCGGACGGGUGAGUAAUGACUAGGAAGCUGCCUGGUAGCGGGGGAUAACGUCCGGAAAGGGGAGCUAAUACCGCAUACUAUUAGAUGAGCCGAGGUCGGAUUAGCUAGUUGGUGGGGUAACGGCUUACCAAGGCGACGAUCCGUAACUGGUGUGAGAGGACGACCAGUCACACUGGAACGGGGACACGGCCCAGAGUCCUACGGGAGGCAGCAGAGGGGAAGUUUGGACAAUGGGGGAAAGCCUGAUCCAGCCAUCCCGCGUGUGUGAUGAAGGUCUUCGGAUUGGAAAGCACUUUUGGGAGGAAGGCGGUACCUACAGAAUAAGCACCGGCUAACUACGUGCCAGCAGCCGCGGUAAUAC